rnacentral:rRNA from 1 species
UACGUAGGUGGCAAGCGUUGUCCGGAUUUACUGGGUGUAAAGGGCGUGUAGCCGGGCUGACAAGUCAGAUGUGAAAUUCCGGGGCUCAACCCCGGACCUGCAUUUGAAACUGUUGGUCUUGAGUAUCGGAGAGGCAGGCGGAAUUCCUAGUGUAGCGGUGAAAUGCGUAGAUAUUAGGAGGAACACCGGCGGCGAAAGCGGCUCUCUGGCCUGUAACUGACACUGAGGCUCGAAAGCGUGGGGAGCAAACAGG